UUUUCAUUUCUUUUUUUUUUUUAUAAUGAAUUUUCUUUAUUGUAACAAAUAGACUAGCACAACAUGUAUGAACAAAGGUGUACAGAAUGGCAUUUUAACACAAAAGAAGUAUUAUAUAAUAAAACAACAAUUGAAUAUAUAUGGUGGUGCAAUAGUAGCUUGAAAAUAAAUAAAUAUCUUAUAACAUUGAAGUCUUACUUGUUCUUGCGAUAUGCAUAAGUGGUGUUUCAAUCAAAAUUUUAACAUUUAUUAUUUAUUCUAUGAUAGGGGCCCAGGGACUCCAGUAUUUGUUAUAUUCCUCUACAGAGAGGUUUUUAAAUGAAAUGUAUUUUUCUAAAUUCAAGUGUUCCUUUAAAUAGUUUUUUAAAGCAUUUAAAUUUGGCAAAACUUCUUGUAGUUUUGUUCGGUAGAUGUAGUAUUUUGAAAAAAGAAUAAUCUUAUUUUUAACAAAAUUCAAUUUAACAUUUUCUAAGAUACCAAAUAAAAUAAUCAUAAUAUUCAAAGGCAGUUCAAUAUUUGUCAUUUCAAAAAUCCAAAUGUUUAGUGCAUGCCAGAGACUGGCGACCAUCGGACAGCUCCAAAAUAAAUGUUCUAUGGUCUCUGGUCCUUCUUUACAAAAUGUACACAUGUUGUUACUAUUUAUUUUCAUCUUGUAAAGUAGUGAAUUAGUUCCCAAAAUUCUAUGGAUAAUUCUAUAUUGGAACCAGCUAAGCUUAGUGCUUUUACUAUAUUUUGUACACGAAGUGUGUAUUUUUUUCCAGUUAAUACCAGUCAUAUUAAGAUGGUUCUCCCAUUUUUCCUUUGCAGCAAAUGUAAUAUAUUUUUCAUUCAAUAUGUUGUACAUGUCUUUUGAACCUUUUUUUGAUUCAAAAAAGAUACUUAUGUUAAAAGGUAUUAUUGCAUGAAUUUUUCUCUCGUUUACUUCAAUAUUUAUCGUGUUUAACCACUCAUUAAGCGAGUGUGCUAUUCCAUAAUAAUGUAAAAUAUUUGGCCUAAAUUGAUAUAAUUGUUGGAAAUUUUGAAAUGACAUAACUUUGCCCUGGUCAUCUAACAAAUCUUGCACUGUCCAAAUUCCCGCAUUUGCCCAGUUUUUAUAGUAGACUCUUGAACCACCAAUUUUAAAGUUUUCUACCUCCCAUAAAGAAUAAGAUAGAAUUUCAUCAAUACAUCUUGGUUUUCUAAUUUGAUUAAGGGUUUUCCAAGCAUCAAAAACUUCUUGCCAAAAUUUAUUUGAUGACCUUUUAAUAGGCCCAAUAUAACUUAUUUCAAUAAAAUUUAUUUGCUCCACAAUAGAGACUAAUCUCACCCACUUUGAAUUCGAAUUAUACAAACGUCUCACCCAUGUAAGUUUUAG
rnacentral:lncRNA from 1 species